rnacentral:rRNA from 1 species
GAUGAACGCUGGCGGCGUGCCUAAUACAUGCAAGUCGAGCGAACAGAUGAGGAGCUUGCUCCUCUGACGUUAGCGGCGGACGGGUGAGUAACACGUGGAUAACCUACCUAUAAGACUGGGAUAAUUUCGGGAAACCGGAGCUAAUACCGGAUAAUAUAUUGAACCGCAUGGUUCAAUAGUGAAAGACGGUUUUGCUGUCACUUAUAGAUGGAUCCGCGCCGCAUUGGCUAGUUGGUAAGGUAACGGCUUACCAAGGCAACGAUGCGUAGCCGACCUGAGAGGGUGAUCGGCCACCCUGGAACUUAGACACGGUCCAGACUCCUACGGGAGGCAGCAGUAGGGAAUCUUCCGCAAUGGGCGAAAGCUUGACGGAGCAACGCCGCGUGAGUGAUGAAGGUCUUCGGAUCGUAAAACUCUGUUAUUAGGGAAGAACAAAUGUGUAAGUAACUAUGCACGUCUUGACGGUACCUAAUCAGAAAGCCACGGCUAACUACGUG